rnacentral:rRNA from 1 species
AUGUCAGAGGACAGGGGCACGCAAAGGGAGAAGGGGAAGGAGUCGACCGAGGAUCUACUAGCACGCCUCACCCUGCAGGAGGAGGAAGAAGAUGAUUUUGUGUGGGAGGAAGAGCUACCAGAUCUACUGGAGCCGGCGAAGUGGCUGGCGAUUGCGAGGGUGCAUACCCGAAAAACCUUCAGCCCUAACGCAUUGUAUGGCGACAUGAGGGCGGCCUGGAAUCCAGCUAAGCCGGUAGCAUGGAGGAAGAUCAGGGAUAACCUGUUCUCGGCGUAGUUUGGAUGUCUUGCAGAUUGGAAGAAAGCCAUGUACGAAGGGCCAUGGUUGUUCAGGGACCAGGCCGUGAUAUUGGAAGAGUACGACGGAUUCAAAAACCCUGAUUCGUUCAAACUGGAUAGAAUUGAGGUAUGGGCUCAGAUCCAUCGACUUCCGGAUAAUUUCUUGAUCGAGCCGGCAGUUAAGGGGCUAGCAUCGAGGAUCGGCGAGGUGGUAGAGAUAUAG